rnacentral:lncRNA from 1 species
AGUUAGGGAUGUGAGUGUACGGACAGGCCGUACAAGGUGGCCGUACAAGGUAAAGAAGAAGUUACCAUGACCGUUUAACCAAGAGGGGAGUAAACGGAUCAUUCUUACCUUCUACCAUGCUCUACUUGGAUCAGACCGUUAAGAGAGCUUGAGGAGCGCAUCUGACAGGCUGUGCCAGGCUGUGACAGACUGUCAGCAUCCUAGUCAAAGAUCCAAGAUGCUUCACACGCGGGAAGAAGCUCAUUGGAUGCUUUAUGAUAUGCGCUCCUCUCCUGGUUGACUUCACAUGCUUUAGCUUAUCUUUAAACCUUGUAAAACCUAAGCUCUCAUACUAUAUAAGUUGUAACCUCAUCAGAUUAAUGAUUAACGAGAUUGAAUUACUCUCUCUCUACUCUCUCUCUAGUUUAAAUCUCAAAGUCUCUUAAUCACUCUCAAACCAUGAUACUUGUUUAAAUCUUUCACUAAACUUCUCUUUAAUCUUUCUUAAUCUCUCAAUACCUUCUUAAAUCUCUAAAAUCUCAUGGUAUCAGAGCCAGGUUGGCUUUGGUAUUGAGAGAUCUUACUUCCUUUGUGUGAUUCUUACUCAUUCCUUCUUUGUGUUCUUGCGUUUGUUCUUGAUACUUCCGGGAAGUCUUGUCAGUGUGUUGAAGUGUCUUACCCUUGGUUCUUUGGUCCCGUGUGUUCUUGAAGAUCUGGUGGUAGAAGCUCAACUGAAGUACAAGAUUGAAGACUAGAAGUAACUAGAGGCAAAGAGAAGAUGGAAGGAAACUACAGUAAGCUUGUUACGGUUCCGGUUGCCUUAAAAGGUGUAGGAAACUACUUGUUGUGGUCUCGGCUGGUGAAGACUGCUAUUGGGAGGCUAGGGUUGUGGAACCACAUCACGGAUGAUGGUCCAGAGCCAGUGGCCAAAGGGAAUGAGGAAGCUGAGGGUGGAAAAGUACUCACUGAAGCUGAGGUGAAGAAGAAAUGGGUUCAAGAAGAUCUGAUGGUGCUGUCCGUGCUACACAGUUCUAUUGAAGUCCCUUUGCUUGAAGCCUACAUCUUCUGUGAGACACCUAAGCACCUAUGGGAGACGCUCCAGAAGACAUUUGGAGAUGUCUCAAACCUUAACCGUGUGUUUGAGUUGAAGAAAGCCAUCACCUCCUUGAUGCAAGGUGGUGUGGAGCUUACUACACACAUUGGGAAGUUCAGAGCUCUUUGGUCUGAGCUGGAUAACCUGCGCCCAAGCACCAGUGAUCAAGAGAUCAUCAUGGAGAGGAGAGAGCAGGAUCAAGUGUUUGGGUUGUUGAUGACCUUAGACGUGUGCUACCAGGAUGUCAUAAAGCACAUGCUGAGAUCGCCAAGCCUACCAACAAUGGAGGAGGUGUGCUCUCAACUGCAGAAGGAGGAAGGCUCUCUAGGCUUGUUUGGAGGAAAGGGGGAGCUACCUAUGGCUCAUCAGGCUGAGGAUGUGCAAGCAAACAAGGCGGGUUACAAGAAUGAUGGAAGGAAGUAUGGUGACCGCUUUGAAGGGAAUUGUGAUCAUUGCAAGAAGCCAGGCCAUAAGAAGAGCCAAUGCUGGAUACUUCACCCUCACCUCAAGCCAAGCAAAUUCAACAAGGAGAGAGAAGCCAGAGCUCACAUGUCCACCGAGACAAGCAGUGGCAGUGCAUCCGGGGCUGGUACAUCCUCACAAGUGAAUGAGAGUGAAGGGCGAGCUCUCUCUUCUCACCACUCAGGAGGAAAGAACCUAGAGCAUGAGGUGAUCAGGAAGUCAGACAUAGAUGCACUCAUCAAAGCUCUUAAAGAGUCUGGUAACAAACUAAGACCCAAUACUCUUGGUAUUCUUUUGCUGCUCAUACUAUGUCUAGUAGAACUGAUAGGUUGCUAGACAUACUAGAGAGUCCCUUGAUUGGUAAAACUGAACAUAGCAUUGCUAAUAAACUCUUAGGAGUACUUGAGAACUUAAAAAAUAACAAUGAUCAUCCUAGAAGUCAUCUAGCUAAGGAUAUACAUAAACCUUUGAUCAUUGAUUCUGGUGCAUCUCAUCACAUGAUUAGUGAUAACAGGUUGAUUACUGAUAUAGAACCUACCCAAGGUCAUGUCAUGAUUGCUAAUGGAGAUAGAAUUCCUAUUAGAGGCAUUGGUAGGUUGAAACUGUUUAAUAAAGAGUCUAAUGCAUUCUACAUGCCUGAAUUUACUUCAAACUUGUUAUCUGUCAAGAGAUGCACUACUGAUCUUGAUUGCAAUGUUAUUUUUAGUCCUAAUGAUGUGAAGUUUCAGGAUAUUAAGAGCAGUAAGUUGAUCGGCCAAGGAGCAACUAAGGGAGACCUUUACAUGCUUGAAGAUCUCUCUCCUAUCUCUAGUUCUUGUUUUUCGUUUAGCUCGGUUUCUUUAAGUAAGGAUGCUUUGUGGCAUGCUAGGCUAGGACAUCCACAUGUUAGGGCCUUAAGCAUAAUGUUACCAGGUGUCAUGUUUAAAAAUAAUGAUUGUGAAGCUUGUAUUUUGGGAAAACAUUGUAAGAGUGUGUUUCAAAGAUCAGUUACAGUUUAUGAGAAGUGUUUUGACUUAAUCCACUCUGAUGUUUGGACUGCACCUUGUUUAUCUAGGGAUAAUUACAAGUAUUAUGUCACCUUCAUUGAUGAAAAAUCUAAAUACACCUGGUUAACACUCAUUAAAACAAAGGAUAGAGUUCUUGAUGCAUUUAAAAACUUUCAAAACUAUGUUACUAACCACUAUAAUGCCAAGAUUAAGAUUUUCAGGUCAGAUAAUGGUGGGGAGUAUACAAGUCAUGCAUUCAAAGAACAUCUAGCUAGCCAUGGAAUACUUCAUCAGACGAGCUGUCCUUAUACACCCCAGCAAAAUGGAGUGGCUGAAAGGAAGAAUAGACACCUCAUGGAGGUGGCAAGAUCAAUGAUGUUCUAUACAAGUGUGCCUAAGAGGCAUUGGAGUGAUGCAGUGAUGACCGCAAGCUACCUAAUCAACAGGACACCAACCAAGAUUCUCAAUGAUCAGUCCCCCUUUGAGGUUCUCAACAAGAGUAAGCCAGUGCUGGAACACUUGAGGAUCUUUGGGUGUGUGUGCUAUGUGCUAGUACCCGGGGAAAUGCGGAACAAGCUAGAAGAGAAGAGUACCAAGGCUAUGAUGAUUGGAUACUCUACGUCCCAAAAGGGAUACAAAUGCUUUGAUCCAAAUACCAGAAGAGUAUUGGUAUCAAGGGAGGUGAAGUUCUUUGAAGAAAAGGGAUAUUAUGAUGGGAAGAAUUGGGAAGAACUUGAAGAUCUAUCCCAACCAUCAGACAGGGCUGCAAGCUUGAGAAACAUUUUGCAAGGACUUGGUAUUGGAGUGUCAUCAGAUCAGCACAAACGCAAGCAACACCACCUGUUAGAGUUGAAGAAUCAUCUCACUUAGAACAUGAAGGGGGAAGUGAAUCUGCUGAUACUGAAGUUCAAGGAACAAGUGAAGCCGAAAAUCAACAACAAAGCGCAGACUCUCAUGUUCAAAGUGAAGAUGACUCAAGGGGAAGUGAUCAACAUGGAGGUCAGGAAGCUAGUGAAGAAAGCCAGAUACCAGAAGAAGCCGUGGAAGAGAAUGUAGUAGUUCCAUUGAGGAGAAGCACACGGUUAAAGAGAGAUGCUUCCAACUGGGUAAACACAAGAGUGUACUACAAUGCCCAAGCUGUGGAGCAUCCCUCUCAAGCUGUGUGCUUCUCCUCAAUGGAACUACUACAUUCUCUUCCACGGCUUCUUCUGGUAUCUGCUUUCUUCACUAGCUUCCUGACCUCCAUGUUGAUCACUGAGUCAUCUUCACUUUGAACAUGAGAGUCUGCGCUUUGUUGUUGAUUUUCGGCUUCACUUGUUCCUUGAACUUCAGUUCAGCAGAUUCACUUCCUCAUUUCUAAGUGAGAGAUUCUUCAACUCUAACAGGUGGUGUGCUGACUUUGUGCUGAUCUGUGACUCCAUACCAAGUCCUUGCAAAAUGUUUCUCAAGCUGUGUGCUCCUUUGCGUGCUAUCCAGAAGAGCAUUGCACAUUUAUGAUCAGCUUAGAUGGAAGCUAUGUGCCUAGAUCAUAUGAAGAUGCAAUGCUACAUGAAGACUGGAAGGAAUCAGUAGGGGAUGAAGCUAAUGCCAUGAUAAAGAAUGAUACUUGGUUUGAAAGUGAACUGCCAAAAGGAAAGAAGGCAGUAACUAGCAAGUGGAUAUUCACUAUCAAGUACAAGCCUGAUGGGACUAUUGAGAGAAAGAAGACAAGACUGGUGGCUAGAGGAUACACUCAAACAUAUGGGGAAGACUACAUUGACACCUUUGCUCCUGUUGCUAAGCUCCAUACAAUAAGAAUUGUAUUAUCUCUGGCUGUGAAUCUUGAGUGGGAGCUUUGGCAGAUGGAUGUGAAGAAUGCCUUUCUUCAAGGAGAACUAGAAGAUGAAGUGUAUAUGCAUCCACCACCAGGCCUAGGGCAUCUUGUGAAACCUGGAAAUGUGUUGAGACUCAAGAAGGCUAUCUAUGGGUUGAAACAAUCUCCUAGAGCAUGGUACAACAAGCUGAGCACUACUUUAAAUGGGCGUGGUUUCAAGAAAUCAGAAUUGGAUCAUACUCUCUUCACACUUACUUCACCCUCAGGUAUCAUUUGUCUACUUGUGUAUGUUGAUGAUAUCAUUAUAACAGGUAGUGAUAAGGCUGGGAUAAAAGCCACCAAGGAGUUUUUAAAAUCUGUAUUUGAAAUUAAAGACUUAGGAGAAAUGAAAUACUUCCUUGGAAUUGAGUUGUGUAGAUCUAAGGAAGGAUUGUUCAUUUCCCAAAGGAAGUAUACACUUGAUCUUUUGAAAGAUGCAGGUAUACAAGGAGAUAAGACAGCAAGGAUGCCUCUUGAAGAUGGAUACAAGGUUCCACGUGAGGGGGAGAUUGAAGAUAGCAAGGUCUUUCAUGAUCCAAAGCUAUACAGGAAGCUAGUAGGGAAGCUCAUCUACCUUACCAUCACACGUCCGGAUAUAUGCUUUGCUGUGAAUCAAGUGAGCCAGCAUAUGCAAGUCCCAAAGGAGCAUCACUGGCGAAUGGUGGAGAGACUCCUCUUGUAUCUGAACGGUACAUCAGGCCUUGGAGUUUGGAUGGGAUGCAACAAGAGUACUGAAGUGGUGGGCUAUUGUGAUGCUGAUUGGGCAGGAGAUAGAGCAGACAGAAGAUCAACUACCGGCUAUUGUACAUUCAUUGGAGGUAAUCUUGUGACAUGGAAGAGCAAGAAGCAGAAAGUAGUAUCUUGUUCAAGUGCUGAAGCUGAGUAUAGGGCAAUGCUGAAGCUAACCAAUGAGUUGGUGUGGAUCAAAGGGAUCUUGAAACACUUGGAGAUAGAGCAAGCUUCACCAAUGACUAUGCAUUGCGACAACCAAGCAGCUAUACACAUUGCAUCCAACUCAGUGUUCCAUGAGAGAACCAAGCACAUUGAAGUAGACUGCCACAAGGUGAGGCAGAUGAUCGUUUUGGGAGUAAUCUUGCCAUGCUAUACAAGGAGUGAGGAUCAGUUAGCGGAUGUAUUCACCAAGGCAGCAAGACAAAAGACAAUGGAGUCCAUACACAUCAGGUUAGGACUCAUUGAUCUUACACCCAUAGAAUAGUCCCCUGAUCAUGAGGUCUUUACUCUUUUUCCCUUAUCAAAGUUUUGUCCCAAAUGGGUUUUCUUUGGUAAGGUUUUUAAUGAGGAAGAUCUCAUGGUCCUUCCAAGCUUAACUUGUUCCACAUGGUUAAGCUUGAGGGGGAGUGUUGAAAUGAGGUGAUGCAACUAUGUGAUAUGAAGCUAGAGAAGGUUAGAGGCUUGAGGAUGAAGUUAGGGAUGUGAGUGUACGGACAGGCCGUACAAGGUGGCCGUACAAGGUAAAGAAGAAGUUACCAUGACCGUUUAACCAAGAGGGAGUAAACGGAUCAUUCUUACCUUCUACCAUGCUCUACUUGGAUCAGACCGUUAAGAGAGCUUGAGGAGCGCAUCUGACAGGCUGUGCCAGGCUGUGACAGACUGUCAGCAUCCUAGUCAAAGAUCCAAGAUGCUUCACACGCGGGAAGAAGCUCAUUGGAUGCUUUAUGAUAUGC